CAAAGAUGUCCAAAUUCAUAUCAAUCACAUAGUCGCAAAAACGCACUACAAAACCCAUUCUAUAGUGACAUAUAGAACAUAGGGGAGCUUCACUUGCUCUUGUUAGGUCAAACACACCUAUCACUAAGCUCAAAACAGCCCAACAGAAGCUCCAAACUCAGCUCAAACGAUCUCUCGACCUGCUGAAAACAAAGCAUCAAAACCGCAUCGAAACGAUUACUUAAUAAUCCAAUUUCGGCUCCAAUCGCACAUAGUACAAAGUAAUAACUUAAUUUCCU
rnacentral:lncRNA from 1 species